rnacentral:lncRNA from 1 species
UAGUUGAACUAGCGGACAGAGGAAAAAAAAUUCGGACAUAUUUGCCCUCAAGUUCCAUUAACGCCUAAAUAUUAGAUCUGAUUUCUCUACAGUUUCAGACCAUCCGCCGAAUAUCAAUUCCUGCAAAGGGAUGGAUGUUUCAGACCAUCCGCUAGAGAUUUCAAAAAGUUCAAAACCCAAAUAUUAGAUCUGAUUUCCCUAGAUUGAACGAGCGGAAGAAGAACUUGAAGAACUUGAGUUCUCUACGACUUGAAUUAUUUUCUAUUCUCUAUUCUCUAUUCUCUGUUUUUCAUUCUCUGUUCACGAAUUCUUAUUUCGCUAGUUUAACAAGCGGAUAGAUAUAUAAUAGUCAAUUUGGGGACGUAUUGCUGCUGCUUAAUUGGAUAUUUGAGAUUGCUGAAUAUUUGGGAUUGCCUUGAAUUUCUGCUUAAUUAGAUCUAUUAUUAAUUUGUUGGUGCUUAAUUGGAUAUUUGGGAUGGAUUGCGGAAUAUUUGGUGAGGUGAUAUAGAUCUAAUAUUUGUUGCCGCUUAAUUGGAUAUUUGGGAUUGUUGCUGCUUAAUUGGAUCAACAGAUCUGAUAUUAGAGUGCCGCCUUGGAUCUCUGCUUAAUUAGAUCUACUAUUUGCUGCUGCUAAAUUGAAUAUUUGGGAUUGCUGCUUAAUUGGAUCAACAGAUUUGAUAUCAGAGUGCCGCUAGUUCAACUAGCAGAUGGAGUUAAAUCCGGGACUUGGGUGCAAAUAUGUCCGAAUUUUUUUUUCUCUGUGUCCGCUAGUUCAACUAGCGGACGAAGAAAUUUUAUUUUAAAUUUCAGCCCUUAAUUUAUGUAAUGUGUGCUGGAAAUGUUAUUUGUUCAUUUUUUAUCCAUAACAAAUACAUGCUAUGGAUCAUUUUUCUAUAUAUAUAUAUAUAUGAAUAAUUUGGUUCACAAGUAAAAUUUAUCCUACAAACACGACCUAAAGGGAAUUUUUAUUCAACGCCAUGCCUAAAUCUUCAUGAGUUUUUAGUAUAUAUAUCUAGGUGCAAGACUGUAAAUCUUUCACUUUUCUAGUCAAAAAAUAGAAGAAAGUAAAGCUACCCUUUGUGAAAUUUUAUUUAAUAUAUAUAUUUCCU